GGUGGCUCAUUCCUGGCUGUGGCUCAGGAAGCAGAGCCUGGAGCGUCUCCACCAUGGCCUGGGCUCCACUCCUCCUCACCCUCCUUGCUCACUGCACAGGGUCUUGGGCUGAGGUUGUGUUCACUCAGCCCCAUUCUGUGUCGGGGUCUCCGGGGCAGACGGUCACCAUCUCCUGCACCCGCAGCAGUGGCAGCAUUGACAGCAGCUAUGUGUACUGGUACCAGCAGCGCCCGGGCAGCGCCCCCACCACUGUGAUCUACAGUGAUGACCAAAGACCCUCUGGGGUCCCUGAUCGGUUCUCUGGCUCCAUCGACAGCUCCUCCAACUCUGCCUCCCUCACCAUCUCUGGACUGAAGUCUGAGGACGAGGCUGACUAUUACUGUCAGUCUUAUGACAGCAGCAUUCAGGUGUUCCCUGGACAUCCACAGACGUUUCCUAAAAGACCAAGUGCCCAGCUGGCCUUAGAGUCAGGGAUUUCAGGAGGUGGCUGCUGA